rnacentral:rRNA from 1 species
GUUGAACGCUGGCGGCGGGCCUAAUACAUGCAAGUCGAACGGACAGAUGAAGAGCUUUGCUCCCUUGCUUACGAGUCGCGGGCGGGAGUGAAAUGUCUGUAACAUACCUUGAUGGCUGGGGAAAAUUACUGAAACCGGUAGCAAAUACCGCAAAACGUCUCAACCGCAAGGUGGAGUAGUUUAGGGCCUCUUUGCAUCCACUGAUACAUGGAGCCGGGCGGGAUUAGCUAGUGGGUAGGGUAACGGCUUACCCAGGCGACGAUUCGUAGCCGACCUGAGAGGGUGACCAGCCACACUGGAACUGAGACACGGUCCAGACUCCUACGGGAGGCAGCAGUGGGGAAUAUUGCGCAAUGGGCGCAAGCCUGAUGGAGCAACGCCGCGUGUAUGAUGAAGGUCUUCGGGUUGUAAAGCACUGUCAGCGGGGAAGAAGAAAGUAGAGAUUAUAUCUGCACGUAUUGACGUUACCCACUGAGAAAGCACCGGCUAACUCCGUG